rnacentral:lncRNA from 1 species
CUUUGAUACACAGAAGUUUGAAUGUCAUCUAUCUAGGGGAGCAGCUGGAUAGCAAAGCCUCAAGCCCAUGGAAAACAUUUAUAAACCUCCAUGACAAGCCAUCUCCACAAACCCCGAAAUAGAACUGGUGACAAAUCCCCAACAGCUACAAGACCUGCAUGGUAGUAACAUCUGUGUGAAAAGAAGACAGAAGUAAUGGGGCAGUGUCAAUGAAGGAUCUGAGAAGAGAGAAUUCCAAAGAGCUGACAAUAGUUCACCGGCAAGCACAGUGGACAUCUUUGGAAACAGCUGAUGAAACUGGGAGGGGCUUUGUUCAGCCCAGUGUUGGGUGACUGCGAGGAGUGCCUGGUAGACUAUGAAGGGGCUGGCAUUGUCCAGACCCUGUGAACUUUGAAAAGGACCUGCACAGGUUUGUUUCUAGGGCAGAGUCCCACAUUGAGGAGAGAUUGCCAGGAGUGGAGGCAAAAUUGAGCCGGGCGGGGGCAACAUGGAUGAAGAAAGAGAGGGCCAGGUAAAAGUAGGGCAAUGAGAAUAGAGCCGGGACAUUUUAAGGGACUAUUUUAUUUUUAAAUAAUGCAUAAAACCAUGGACUAUGGGGCAGUUUGAACUUAUACAGUUUAUCAUGAACGAUGUUUCCUUCUAAAAAUUCAGGAAAACAAAAUUCACAUAAAAUUAGUAUAGGAAAAGAUCACAGUCAAAUGUCAUUUAAAGUUAUUAUUCAAAAACAUAAAGAAAAUGUGAUACACAUACGCCAUGGAAUACAAUGUAACCAUAAAAAGGAAUUAAAUCAUGUUGUUUGCAGCAAUGUGGAUGCAGCUGGAGGCCAUUAUCCUAAGGGAAUUAAUGCAGAAACAGAAAACCAAGUAUUGCGUGUUCUUACUUAUAAGUGGAAACUAAACAUUGGGUACGUA